UUUAUCAAUUACUAGAACCAAAGACUCAUCCAGAAUUUUGGUGCUAAGGAUCUAUGAGAAAGUUGAUUUGAGCUUCCCAGCUUCCUUACAUGUAAGAAAGUAUGGGAAAGUAAAUUAAAAAAAUUUUUCAGCCAAUAAAGUUAAAGAAAAAAAGAGAAAAAAGAAAAGCACCAUGCUGAGUUCUGACUGAGUACAGAAAUGAAAAAAUCAAGUACAAGAAUGAUAAAAUCUUUCAGGCUUGUUGGAACACCUGCAAUUUUUAAUUUUGUACUGGGUGUUGGAUCUGGAGCCAAACACAGACUUUUUGGCAGUCAUCUCUGUACUCAUCUCACCUACAAAGAUUUGAAACAGAAAUACUUCACAGAUUUCCAGUUUUGCCCCACUUCAUGAGAAAUUUGUUGUAUGCUGACAUCUAACAGCAAAAG